AUUGAACGCUGGCGGCAGGCCUAACACAUGCAAGUCGAGCGGAGCGGCGGACGGGCGAGUAAUGCCUAGGAAUUUGCCUGGUAGUGGGGGAUCACGUCCGGAAACGGGCGCUUAUUCCGCAUACUUGCAGAUGAGCUUAGGUUGGAUUUGCUAGUUGGUGGGGUAAAGGCUUACCAAGGCGACGAUCCGUAACUGGUCUGAGAGGAUGAUCAGUCACACUGGAACUGAGACACGGUCCAGACUCCUACGGGAGGCAGCAGUGGGGAAUAGUGGACAAUGGGCGAAAGCCGGAGCGAGCCAUGCCGCGUGUGUGAAGAAGGUCUUCGGAUUGUAAAGCACUUUUAGUUGGGAGGCGUUACCAACAGAAUAAGCACCGGCUAACUUCGUGCCAGCAGCCGCGGUAAUAC
rnacentral:rRNA from 1 species